AUUGAACGCUGGCGGCAUGCCUUACACAUGCAAGUCGAACGGCAGCACGGGAGCAAUCCUGGUGGCGAGUGGCGAACGGGUGAGUAAAGUAUCGGAGCGUGCCCAGUCGUGGGGGAUAACGUAGCGAAAGUUACGCUAAUACCGCAUACGAUCUAUGGAUGAAAGCGGGGGAUCGCAAGACCUCGCGCGAUUGGAGCGGCCGAUAUCAGAUUAGGUAGUUGGUGGGGUAAAGGCUCACCAAGCCGACGAUCUGUAGCUGGUCUGAGAGGACGACCAGCCACACUGGGACUGAGACACGGCCCAGACUCCUACGGGAGGCAGCAGUGGGGAAUUUUGGACAAUGGGCGAAAGCCUGAUCCAGCCAUGCCGCGUGCAGGAUGAAGGCCUUCGGGUUGUAAACUGCUUUUGUACGGAACGAAAAGGUUUGGCCUAAUAAGCUGAGCUCAUGACGGUACCGUAAGAAUAAGCACCGGCUAACUACGUGCCAGCCGCCGCGUAAAAC
rnacentral:rRNA from 1 species